rnacentral:rRNA from 1 species
AGUACGUGAAACCGUUUAGGGGUAAACCUGAGAAACCCGAAAGGUCGAAGGAAGNAAAUUCAAUCGUGCCCGAUAAGGUUAUUGUGCGGUUAUGGUGUUCGGAAAGUGAAUUCGUUCAUUUUUCGCCCUACUGUAUGAUAUAUGUACCUUGUUGGACGCGUGCACUUUUCUUCUGGUAGGACGUCGCGAUCCGUUGGGUGUUGAUCUACGGUUCAGAUGGUAGACCUUAACGUAUUAAGCUUUUAUGCUUAAUAUGUUAAGGACCUUUGAAACCUGAUCAACUGGCUCGACGGUAUAAUUAGAUGGUUUUCGGCCGCUCAUGAAGCGUUCGGCUUGUGGCAAGCACGUCAAAUGUUUUGGUACAUCGGACCUAGUGCCGUGUCUGAUCCUUGACGUCUGUUGGCUACUUUGUCUCGAACAGACCGAAUAACCGAUCUGCGACGAUAUAGCUUUGGGUACUUUCAGGACCCGUCUUGAAACACGGACCAAGGAGUCUAGCAUGUACGCAAGUCAUUGGGAAUUACAAAACCUAAAGGCGUAAUGAAAGUAAACGUUUAUCAUUUUGAUAGACAUUGGGAAGAUGGGCGUGGAAUCUUAAUAGGAUUUGCGUUCAGCAUUCCCGGGGCGUCUCAUUCUCAUUACGAGAGGAGGCGCACCAUGAGCGUACACGCUGGGACCCGAAAGAUGGUGAACUAUGCCUGGUCAGGACGAAAGUC